AUUGAACGCUGGCGGCAGGCCUAACACAUGCAAGUCGAGCGGAUGAAGGGAGCUUGCUCCUGGAUUCAGCGGCGGACGGGUGAGUAAUGCCUAGGAAUCUGCCUGGUAGUGGGGGAUAACGUCCGGAAACGGGCGCUAAUACCGCAUACGUCCCGAGGGAGAAAGUGGGGGAUCUUCGGACCUCACGCUAUCAUAUGAGCCUAGGUCGGAUUAGCUAGUUGGUGGGGUAAAGGCCUACCAAGGCGACGAUCCGUAACUGGUCUGAGAGGAUGAUCAGUCACACUGGAACUGAGACACGGUCCAGACUCCUACGGGAGGCAGCAGUGGGGAAUAUUGGACGAUGGGCGAAAGCCUGAUCCAGCCAUGCCGCGUGUGUGCAGAAGGUCUUCGGAUUGUAAAGCACUUUAAGUUGGGAGGAAGGGCAGUAAGUUAAUACCUUGCUGUUUUGACGUUACCAACAGAAUAAGCACCGGCUAACUUCGUG
rnacentral:rRNA from 1 species